rfam:Picea glauca, whole genome shotgun sequence.
GGGUGUGAUCAUACCAGCGUUAAUGCACCGGAUCCCAUCAGAACUCUAUAGUUAAGCACGCUUGGGCUAGAGUAGUACUGGGAUGGGUGACCUCCCAGGAAGUCCUAGUGUUUCACCCU